GAUAAACAGGCUGGAACACAUAAAGCUUAAAGAACGGUGGAAUUCGACAGUUGUGCAUUACAGACACGAGUGUACACCAUGUUGCGAGCCUUCGUCUUUUGUGUCCUGCUUCUGGCUGUUACAUUAACAGUGGUUGGGUGCGACCGACCCUCGUCUAUGUCCGAGGGAUGUCCACAGAACUACGCACCCGUCUGUGGAUCUGACGGGUGACAUAUAAUGAAUUCUUGUGAAAUGGGGUCGAUACUUUUGCGGUCCGGGAAGGCUGCUACUGUCACUGUUUGCCUUACCAGGGUGCUUUUUGGCCGUAGCUGUACAUGUGAACACAUAAAGAACAAUGUGUACUAC